GUAUGGGCUAUAGCGAAGAGACGGAUUAGUAAACAAAAUUCUACCUGCCCCGCUGCAGGUGGCUGUUAUGGAGACCCUUUGGGGAGGCCAUUGUCGCCAUGUUUGACCAGGAGGCUAAACCUUCAAGUGGUGUCUUAGAGGAUGAGAAGAAAGAUGUUAUUAAAGUCAAAGUUAUUGGAGAAGAUAGAAGUGAGAUACACUUCAGACUGAAAAUGACAACAAGGCUCAAGAAACUUAAGGACUCAUACAGUCGAAGACUGGAUCUGUCAGUGAAUUCACUGAGGUUUCUCUUUGAAGGCCAGAAGAUUGCCGAUGACCAUACUGCAGAAGAGCUGGGGAUGGAGGAGGAAGACGUGAUUGAAGUCCAUCAGGAACAAACGGGAGGUGGAGUGUCACUCGACAGCUUAGGAAGAUCUGACAGAAAUCUAUCUGGAAAAAUAGGAAAUCAUUAAACACUUUAGAUGUUCUUUGUAAUUUUUCUUUUUCCCUAAUGCUAUUGUUUUUAAUGUGGUUCGUUUGUGAUGUGGUGUUCAGAGUAAAAAUUGAACAUUGUCACUUCAUCUCUUUAGAACACCUGGAAGUCUGAAUUCUAGUGCUCAGUAUUCAUUAUGAUGAUUUUGGUGAUCAAACCUCAGCUCCUUUAGAAUACGCACCGCGAGGCUGCCCUUCUUGGGACAAGUGUGAUGAUUUCCAAUGCCAUCCCAUCAGCCAAGGAUUCCAGCAUGUGGCUAACUUCAAACCUCGCUUGUGAUUUUUCAGGGCAAGGUGGAAAUUUUCAGAGAAUUGAACCUUGGCGUGUGACCUUGCCUCAGAUUGAAGCUGCUUCUAAAGUUUGAGGGUCUGGUCCAAGAGCAGAGUAUUGGCUUUGGAGUCGUGAUGACAGACACGGCAAGAGCCACAACUGACUGCCAAGACUGCUCACUGAAGAGAGAGCAUCUCAGGAUUAAAUUUGUUUUGUCAUGUGAGCUCAGAAUGUUCUAGUUUUCAUCAUCAGUUAAUAAUAAAGUUAUCCUGGCAAAAG